GUGGGGAAUAUUGCACAAUGGGGGAAACCCUGAUGCAGCGACGCCGCGUGGGUGAAGAAGUAUUUCGGUAUGUAAAGCCCUAUCAGCAGGGAAGAAAAAAGACGGUACCUGAGUAAGAAGCCCCGGCUAACUACGUGCCAGCAGCCGCGGUAAUACGUAGGGGGCAAGCGUUAUCCGGAUUUACUGGGUGUAAAGGGAGCGUAGACGGCAGGGCAAGUCUGGAGUGAAAGGCAGGGGCCCAACCCCUGGACUGCUUUGGAAACUGCCCGGCUUGAGUGCAGGAGAGGUAAGUGGAAUUCCUAGUGUAGCGGUGAAAUGCGUAGAUAUUAGGAGGAACACCAGUGGCGAAGGCGGCUUACUGGACUGUAACUGACGUUGAGGCUCGAAAGCGUGGGGAGCAAACAGGA
rnacentral:rRNA from 1 species